UUGUUGCAUGUUCAUGCAGAUAGCUGUGUGAAAAAGUGCCACACCCUAGCAGUUGAGGGAACCUGUGGAAGAGGUAGACCCAAGAAGACCUGAGACGAGGUGGUGAAGCAUGACCAUCGAACAUUGAGCCUCACCAAGGUAAUGACUAGUGACCGGGACCUCUGGAAAUAUGCUGUGCUUGAGAAGACUUGGCAAGCGCAAGUGAGACCAUGGCCUAUGCCAGGGGUGU